UCGGCCUGCGCGGAAGAUGUAACGGGGCUAAACUAUGCACCGAAGCUGCGGCAGCGAUAUGUAAAUAUUGUUGGGUAGGGGAGCGUUCUGUAAGCCUGUGAAGGUGUACUGUGAGGUAUGCUGGAGGUAUCAGAAGUGCGAAUGCUGACAUAAGUAACGAUAAUGCGGGUGAAAAACCCGCACGCCGGAAGACCAAGGGUUCCUGUCCAACGUUAAUCGGGGC
rnacentral:rRNA from 1 species